rnacentral:misc_RNA from 1 species
GGACAAUACCAUGUUUUGGUUAUCAUUGCUGAUGGCCAGGUUACCAGGAGUGUCAAUACUAGUGAUUCGGAACUCAGCGAACAAGAAGAAAACACAAUUAAGUCUAUCGUUACUGCCAGCAUGUAUCCUCUCUCCAUUGUACUUGUUGGAGUUGGCGACGGACCUUGGGAAGACAUGCAAAAGUUUGAUGACCGUAUACCUGCUCGUGAGUUUGAUAAUUUUCAGUUUGUGAAU